CCUACGGGAGGCAGCAGUGGGGAAUUUUGGACAAUGGGCGCAAGCCUGAUCCAGCAAUGCCGCGUGAGUGAAGAAGGCCUUCGGGUUGUAAAGCUCUUUUGUCAGGGAAGAAACGGGACCGGCUAAUAUCUGGUUCUAAUGACGGUACCUGAAGAAUAAGCACCGGCUAACUACGUGCCAGCAGCCGCGGUAAUACGUAGGGUGCAAGCGUUAAUCGGAAUUACUGGGCGUAAAGCGUGCGCAGGCGGUUUUGUAAGUCUGUCGUGAAAGCCCCGGGCUUAACCUGGGAAUUGCGAUGGAGACUGCAAGGCUUGAAUCUGGCAGAGGGGGGUAGAAUUCCACGUGUAGCAGUGAAAUGCGUAGAGAUGUGGAGGAACACCGAUGGCGAAGGCAGCCCCCUGGGUCAAGAUUGACGCUCAUGCACGAAAGCGUGGGGAGCAAACAGGAUUAGAUACCCUGGUAGUCCACGCCCUAAACGAUGUCUACUAGUUGUCGGGUCUUAAUUGACUUGGUAACGCAGCUAACGCGUGAAGUAGACCGCCUGGGGAGUACGGUCGCAAGAUUAAAACUCAAAUGAAAUUGACGG
rnacentral:rRNA from 1 species